GUAAGAAAUUUUUCUUUUAGAUUUAUUUACUAUGUACGCAGUGUUCUGCCUGCACAUAGACUUGCAGGCCAGAAAAGGACACCAGAUCUCAUUAUAGAUAUUUAUGAGCCACCAUGUGGUUGCUGGGAAUUGAACUCAGGACCUCUGGAAGAACAGUUAGUGCUCUUAACUUCUGAGCCAUCUCUCUAGCCUCCAAGAGACUUUUAAUUAUAGAGUAAAGGUAAGGACUACUUUAUGUCUGAAAUCUUCAAGAAUUAAAUAGUAGUUGGCUGAGCCAGGUGGUGGUGGCACAUGCCUUUAGUCCCACCAUUCAGGAGGCAGAAGCAAGUAGAUCUCUGUACUCCGAAUGCAUAUGUAUACAUGUGUACAAGCACAUAAACACAUAUAAAAAAUUCUCAAAGAAAGUUGAACUGUAGAUUAUGUGGCCAUUACGUUUCUAGGGGGAUAAAAAGAUGGGGUUCUUAUUCUGUAUUGUGUAUUCAGAUUGGAGGAUGCUUUGGUGAAGUUCUCUUGAGAUAGAAAGAAACCUGGAAUGUAGAGAAAUAAUAAAUAAAUUUAAAGCUCUAACUUUAAAAAUAUUAGUUAGUUUUCUAUUUCUGUGAUAAAACACCGUGACCAAAAGCAGCCUGGGGAGGAGAGGGUUUGUUUCCUGUUGUAGAUUAUAGUCUGUUAUCCAGGGACGUCAAGGCAGGGACUGAUGAAGAGGACAUCAGUUUGCUUGCUUCCCAUGGGUCAGGACCACCUUCCAUGUUGUUUUUCAUGAAGGAUUAAGCUUUUACAGAAAAGAAUAGGCAAAGAGAGUAAGCUCCUCGCUUAGAUUACAUCACUUCCUCUGUCAGCUUUGGGGCAUGUAAUGGCUUAAUCUUUAUUGUCAUCUUGACUGGAUUUAUAAUCACCUGAGGGAAACAACUCUGGUCGUGUCUGUAAGAGUGUUUUCAGAGAAAUGAUAAUGGAGGAGCUAAAACUUACCCUGAAUGUGAGUGUCACUAUUCCAUAGGAUUUUUAGUUAAGGUCUUCCUGUGUAGCCAAGGCUACCUUCAGACUUACAGUGACUCUUAUAGGAGCGGUUUCAUUGAACAUUAUCUUUGAGCUCAUACUAAGAAAAUACAACACAGAUGGGCAGUGGUGACCCAUACCUUUAGUCUACAGAGCCAGUUCCAGAACAGCUAGGGCUAUACAGAGAAAUCUUACCUC
rnacentral:lncRNA from 1 species